GACGAACGCUGGCGGCGUGCUUAACACAUGCAAGUCGAGCGGUAAGGCCCUUCGGGGUACACGAGCGGCGAACGGGUGAGUAACACGUGGGUGAUCUGCCUCGUACUCUGGGAUAAGCCUGGGAAACUGGGUCUAAUACCGGAUAGGACCGCGAAUCGCAUGGUUUGUGGUGGAAAGAUUUAUCGGUGCGAGAUGGGCCCGCGGCCUAUCAGCUUGUUGGUGGGGUAAUGGCCUACCAAGGCGACGACGGGUAGCCGGCCUGAGAGGGCGACCGGCCACACUGGGACUGAGACACGGCCCAGACUCCUACGGGAGGCAGCAGUGGGGAAUAUUGCACAAUGGGCGGAAGCCUGAUGCAGCGACGCCGCGUGCGGGAUGACGGCCUUCGGGUUGUAAACCGCUUUCGACAGGGACGAAGCGAGAGUGACGGUACCUGUAGAAGAAGCACCGGCCAACUACGUG
rnacentral:rRNA from 1 species